rnacentral:rRNA from 1 species
UACGUAGGGCGCAAGCGUUUGUCCGGAAUUAUUGGGGCGUAAAGAGCUCUGUAGGCGGCCCUGUUGCGUCCGCUGUGAAAAUCCCCGGGGGCUUAACCCCCGGGCUUGCAGUGGAUACGGGGCAGGCUGGAGGCAGGCAGGGGGAGAACGGAAUUCCCGGUGUAGCGGUGAAAUGCGUAGAGAUCGGGAGGAACAUCAGUGGCGAAGGCGGCCAUCUGGGACAACACGUGACGCUGAAGCACGAAAGCGUGGGGAGCAAACAGG